CCCCAACCUUCCAGUGGUCUGUACGAUUAUGCCUCAGUCUCCAUUUAAGUUUAUCAGACACCUGUUUGGACAUGGCCUCGAAAAUGGCGUCAAGAGUCAGGUGCGGAAAAGAGAAAAAAGAAGAGAAAGCGAGAUGAUGCUCACGCGUCGCAAGGUCAGUGCUUAAAUAUGUGCAAGGAGGAACUCAAGACCAGGAGGUAAAUUUAGAUAAUCAGCCAUCCACCAGCAGUUCAAGCCCACAACAUCAACCACCAACCAGCUGGAGUGCAGUCAUGUUGGCCUGCUCAGUGAACCAGUAAAGGGGCAGCAGUUCUUUGCAGGCUCAGACCCUUGAGAGGUGAGAAAGGAGGGAGGCCCUCAUAGCCCAGCAGCUGACGGGUGGCCGACUCCCAGCUCAAACCGAACUCCAGGCGGCUGUAGACGCAUGGGUAAUGCUGGUCAGCCCAGCAAACCCAGCUCACCGCUUUCUUCACCUCCUCCCACCUCUCAGGCCUGGAAGAAAGAGGAAGUUGUAACCAAAGAGGUACCUAAUGAGACCUGUGCUGAGAGGAGUCAUCCAGGCAGAACAGGGUGCGGAGCAGUUUGCCUUCUUCCAUCUCCUCCACCCUCAGCAGCUGCAGAACCAAGAGAGUCGCCACCAACCUCAGUAUGUCUGCAUGGGCCCUCA